rnacentral:rRNA from 1 species
UACAGAGGGGGCAAGCGUUAUUCGGAAUUAUUGGGCGUAAAGGGCGCGUAGGCGGCUUGGCAAGUGGAUGGUGAAAUCCCUCGGCUUAACCGAGGAACGGCCGUCCAAACUGCUUCGCUUGAGACCGGGAGAGGUGAGUGGAAUUCCCAGUGUAGCGGUGAAAAUGCGUAGAUAUUGGGAGGAACACCAGUGGCGAAGGCGGCUCACUGGACCGGUACUGACGCUGAAGCGCGAAAGCGUGGGGGAGCAAACGGGG